rnacentral:rRNA from 1 species
CCCCCUGAAUUUAAGCAUAUAAAUAAGCGGAGGAAAAGAAACCAACAGGGAUUCCCUUAGUAGCAGCGAGCGAACCGGGAUGAUCCCAGCGCCAAAUUCCGCACUCUUUAGGUAUUGGAAAAUGUGGCGUAUGGGAGUGAGCGUCCCGGAGUUUGACGCUGGAGCAAGUCCCCCUGACCGUUGCUGUUACCAACGCCAUCUUGAUGGGAGAUCUUAUCAAGAUGGCCUUGGUGUGAGGCCCAUAGCUGCUAGGUCUGCUUCAGAUGCGAUCUCCUGGGAGUCGGGUUGCUUGGAAGUGCAACCCUAAUUGGGUGAUAAACUCCACUUAAGGCUAAAUACUGCCGUGAGACCAAUAGCAAACAAGUACUGUGAGGGAAAGUUGCAAAGAACUUUGAAGAGAGAGUUCAAGAAGAGUGCGUGAAAUUGAAAACGCGCACGACAGCAACUGAUAAAUAUGAUUUUAUAUUUUUGUUAUUUUAAUGGCGUACUUGUUUUAUUACGAACUCUCGUAAAAUAACCAAACUUCAGCAUUAAUGCCUAACUGAUUAGAACUGUAAGUUUAAACUUAACGAGCGUGACCAUAUUAUGUAUUAACGAAGUAAUUAGAAAUAACAGAAACUCGGGUCACAAACGUUUCAAAUCACUA